AAGUCGUAACAAGGUCUCCGUAGGUGAACCUGCGGAGGGAUCAUUAUUGAAUGGUCUUUGACCUUCUACCCCUCAAACCUGUGGAAGCAAAAAAUGUGCUUCGGCGUCCUCCUCUGGGCGCCGCUUUUAUGCAUAAAUCUGUGUGUCGUCUGAAUCAUACACAAGAAUCAAAACUUUCAACAACGGAUCUCUUGGUUCUG
rnacentral:misc_RNA from 1 species